rnacentral:lncRNA from 1 species
UAGAAUGAUGUGCCACCGUUUGUAAUUGAAUGCUAUGCAGUUGCACAUUCACUACAUGCUUAUCUUUAUCAUCUGCAGACUCUACUUUCCUUUAACACGUUUGACUUUCAAUAUACAUGAAGCUUUACUAUAAUCAAAACCAAACCAAAAACAAAUGAUAAAACUAUAAUAAUUUUUGUGGAAGUAAAUAAAUAGGUCGGGCCUUAUAUUCACCAAAUAAAACAACAAGCCUGUUUAAUUUUAAAGCCCAAAUAACUCCAAUGAACAAAAAUAUCUGUCAAGUACACACCACACACACACAGACACAAAACGGCGUUCACUAGAAUCAGAGAAGACUAAAAACAUAAACACAGAAGGUAGCAGAGUAGUAGAUGAAAGCAGGAGUAAGAGGAGCUAAACAAAUCCGAUAGAAAAGAUAGAUUAAUAUUAAACGAUGUAUCUUCCUACUUCAUCAAAUCCCAUCUCUUCAUCCUCUUUGGUAAGAAAUCUCAAAUAGAGAUUGAAAUAUCUGUAUUUCUCUUUUUGACUCAAAUCUUUUAAAAUUGUGGAGGAAAGAAUCAAUUUUUAGUGUUUUUCCUUUGCUGUUUUUGUUUAAGAGCAUUAAUCCAAUGUGAAAA